UACGUAGGGGGCGAGCGUUGUCCGGAAUCAUUGGGCGUAAAGCGCGUGUAGGCGGCCCGGUAAGUCCGCUGUGAAAGUCCAGGGCUCAACCCUGGGAUGCCGGUGGAUACUGUCGGGCUCGAGUCCGGAAGAGGCGAGUGGAAUUCCUGGUGUAGCGGUGAAAUGCGCAGAUAUCAGGAGGAACACCAAUAGCGAAGGCAGCUUACUAAGCUCUAACUGACACUGAUGCACGAAAGUGUGGGGAUCAAACAGG
rnacentral:rRNA from 1 species